GAUGAACGCUGGCGGCGUGCCUAAUACAUGCAAGUCGAGCGAACAGACGAGGAGCUUGCUCCUCUGACGUUAGCGGCGGACGGGUGAGUAACACGUGGAUAACCUACCUAUAAGACUGGGAUAACUUCGGGAAACCGGAGCUAAUACCGGAUAAUAUGUUGAACCGCAUGGUUCAACAGUGAAAGACGGUCUUGCUGUCACUUAUAGAUGGAUCCGCGCCGCAUUAGCUAGUUGGUAAGGUAACGGCUUACCAAGGCAACGAUGCGUAGCCGACCUGAGAGGGUGAUCGGCCACACUGGAACUGAGACACGGUCCAGACUCCUACGGGAGGCAGCAGUAGGGAAUCUUCCGCAAUGGGCGAAAGCCUGACGGAGCAACGCCGCGUGAGUGAUGAAGGUCUUCGGAUCGUAAAACUCUGUUAUUAGGGAAGAACAAAUGUGUAAGUAACUAUGCACGUCUUGACGGUACCUAAUCAGAAAGCCACGGCUAACUACGUG
rnacentral:rRNA from 1 species